AUCCAAACAUUAAUGUGCCUCUCCGCUGUCAUGCGUUCAAUUUUCCGCUGAAACUGUAGCUUAUUAGGAAAACUAUCCACUCAGCAAGGGUGCCUCUUAGACUACGAGUUGUCAUGGAGAAGAGCAAGUGAACUCAAAAAGAUGUGGUCAGCCCAUCCAGGCGUCUAAGGAGGAUUGCAUCUCAGGUUGUGCCUUGCCACAUUCCUCGGUCUGGUGAAGACUCCGCGGAAGCGCGACUCCGCGGAAUAAGGUGCAUGAUGGAUCCCCGCCGCAUCAGGGAGGCGCCGCCAUUCGUGAGGGUCUCGGUGAUGGUCUUCAGCUACCACCUGCGGCACAUAAUUCCUCGUCUAUCCCGUCACCAUCUCACAUUUUUGGUCCGCGCGGGAGUUACUGCAGCGAGGAAAGUGAAAACGUGGAUGUGGCCCGCGCAUGUCUACCGCCACGCCGCCAGCCAAGCCCAAGUGGUGAAGGAACGACACCGGAAGGAAGGAAGGAAGGAGAGACUGAUGAAGUUAUCUCGUGUUACUUGACCGCCAAGUGCUCGUCCUUCUCUCCCUCGCUUCCUCCCUUCGUCCCUCCAUUCAGCUUGGCACAGCAUGGGGGUUCAAAUUGUUGACAACACAGUGAAGCUGAUCAACUUUGGCAUCAUGUCCUCCAUUCCCAGCAAAAUGACCAGCCCGGUGAAGAACUACCAGACUGAUGAUGCCUUCAACUACAGGUCCUGAGUCACACUGCUGGACAUUCACAGGGGUGCCAUAUGAAUAACUGUGUCAAGGGAAAGCUGGCCCUCAAGAUAAUGGUAAAAUCUGAUUGAUGUCUGGUCUCUAAACUGUAUCCUCUAUAAUUUUGUGUAUGGGUGCACCCCAUUCCAGCACAUUCCCAAAACUACCAUCCA